rnacentral:rRNA from 1 species
ACGCUCGACACCUACGGGAGGCAGCAGGUAGGGAAUCUUCCACAAUGGACGCAAGUCUGAUGGAGCAACGCCGCGUGAGUGAAGAAGGUCUUCGGAUCGUAAAACUCUGUUAGUUAGAGAAGAACACGAGUGAGAGUAACUGUUCAUUCGAUGACGGUAUCUAACCAGCAAGUCACGGCUAAACUACGUGCCAACAGCCGCGGUAAUCUGAGCGGGCUGGCAAGGC